GACGAACGCUGGCGGCGUGUCUAAUACAUGCAAGUAGAACGCUGAAGGAGGAGCUUGCUUCUCUGGAUGAGUUGCGAACGGGUGAGUAACGCGUAGGUAACCUGCCUGGUAGCGGGGGAUAACUAUUGGAAACGAUAGCUAAUACCGCAUAAGAGUAGAUGUUGCAUGACAUUUGCUUAAAAGGUGCAAUUGCAUCACUACCAGAUGGACCUGCGUUGUAUUAGCUAGUUGGUGGGGUAACGGCUUACCAAGGCGACGAUACAUAGCCGACCUGAGAGGGUGAUCGGCCACACUGGGACUGAGACACGGCCCAGACUCCUACGGGAGGCAGCAGUAGGGAAUCUUCGGCAAUGGACGGAAGUCUGACCGAGCAACGCCGCGUGAGUGAAGAAGGUUUUCGGAUCGUAAAGCUCUGUUGUAAGAGAAGAACGAGUGUGAGAGUGGAAAGUUCACACUGUGACGGUAUCUUACCAGAAAGGGACGGCUAACUACGUG
rnacentral:rRNA from 1 species